UCCCCAGUGGCUCAGAUGGUAAAGAAUCUGCCUGCAAUGCAGGAGAGCCAGGUUUGAUCCCUGGGUCGGGAA
rnacentral:tRNA from 1 species